GAUGAACGCUGGCGGCGUGCCUAAUACAUGCAAGUCGAGCGAACAGACGAGGAGCUUGCUCCUUUGACGUUAGCGGCGGACGGGUGAGUAACACGUGGAUAACCUACCUAUAAGACUGGGAUAACUUCGGGAAACCGGAGCUAAUACCGGAUAACAUGUUGAACCGCAUGGUUCAACAGUGAAAGACGGUCUUUCUGUCACUUAUUGAUGGAUCCGCGCCGCAUUAGCUAGUUGGUAAGGUAACGGCUUACCAAGGCAACGAUGCGUAGCCGACCUGAGAGGGUGAUCGGCCACACUGGAACUGAGACACGGUCCAGACUCCUACGGGAGGCAGCAGUAGGGAAUCUUCCGCAAUGGGCGAAAGCCUGACGGAGCAACGCCGCGUGAGUGAAGAAGGUCUUCGGCUCGUAAAACUCUGUUAUUAGGGAAGAACAAAUGUGUAAGUACCUAUGCACGUCUUGACGGUACCUAAUCAGAAAGCCACGGCUAACUACGUG
rnacentral:rRNA from 1 species